rnacentral:rRNA from 1 species
GUGUCAGCAGCCGCGGUAAUACGUAGGUGGCAAGCGUUGUCCGGAUUUACUGGGCGUAAAGGGUGCGCAGGCGGACAUUUAAGUUAGAUGUGAAAUCCCCGGGCUUAACCCGGGGGCUGCAUUUCAAACUGGGUGUCUGGAGUGCAGGAGAGGAGAGCAGAAUUCCUAGUGUAGCGGUGAAAUGCGUAGAGAUUAGGAAGAAUACCAGUGGCGAAGGCGGGUCUC